rnacentral:lncRNA from 1 species
UGAUUUUUACUUUUUGGUUUUGUCUUUUUAUUGAAUGAGUAGUACAAAUUGGUUGAGAACGCGAAAAGGAGGAGAAAGAGGGUUAUGCUGUUAUGUUGUUGCAGAAUGCGAAGGUUCAGAGUGAGGACUGUUACGAAAACGGUUAAUACACUGUUCCGUACACUGAGUGGCACCAGAGAAUGAGGUAAGACUCUAAUGUACAUCAGCAGGGUGGGUUGGUAUUCGUACUGAGAGGCCACCAACGAAACCAAACGAAUGUAGCUCCUCUGCU